GAUGAAGAACUUAGCGAAAUGCGAUAAGUAAUGUGAAUUGCAGAAUUCAGUGAAUCAUCGAAUCUUUGAACGCACAUUGCGCCCGCCAGUAUUCUGGCGGGCAUGCCUGUUCGAGCGUCAUUUCAACCAUCAAGCCCCCGGGCUUGUGUUGGGGUCCUGCGGCUGCCGCAGGCCCUGAAAAGCAGUGGCGGGCUCGCUGUCACACCGAGCGUAGUAGAUUUUAUCUCGCUCAGGGCGUGCUGCGGGUUCCGGCCGUUAAACCACCUUCAUAACCCAAGGUUGACCUCGGAUCAGGUAGGAAGACCCGCUGAACUUAAGCAUAUCAAUAAGCGGAGGA
rnacentral:misc_RNA from 1 species